rnacentral:rRNA from 1 species
UACGGCCAUACUACUCUGUCUGCGUCUGAUCUCGGAAGCUAAGCAGGGUCGGGCCUGGUUAGUACUUGGAUGUGAGAACAGCUUUGCUGUUUGGGAGGGAUCGUUU